rnacentral:rRNA from 1 species
UACGUAGGGGGCUAGCGUUGUCCGGAUUUAUUGGGCGUAAAGGGCGCGUAGGCGGCCAUGCGUGUCCCCCGUUAAAUCCCUCGGCUCAACCGAGGACGUGCGGAAGAAACUGCAAGGCUCGAGUCCGGAAGAGGGGGGCGGAAUUCCCAGUGUAGCGGUGAAAUGCGUAGAUAUUGGGAGGAACACCAGUGGCGAAGGCGGUCCCCUGGGCCGGAACUGACGCUGAGGCGCGAAAGCGUGGGGAGCAAACAGG